AAUCAUCCACCCUGACUUUUGGUUAGUUCCAUUGGGCUUGGCUGGGAUUUGGGUGCUUGCCUCUGAUAAAGAGGCUCGCCUUAAACUGAUUUCGAAUUGACUCUGUUAACAGUUGGUUUGACUUGGCAUUAUAAGUUAUUUUGCUGAGGACAUCUUCACGGAUGGCCAAUUUGUAGACUCUGUCAUGUGCAGCUUGUGGUUACACCUAGCUGUGCGCAACAUCUUUUGAC
rnacentral:misc_RNA from 1 species